rnacentral:lncRNA from 1 species
ACCAUACACAAGAAAUGUCAAGAAAUAUUCGCCUGCUUAGCAUUUAUAACACAUCAAACGUAUACUCUCGGUACAUAGCACCGGAAAUGGAAAAAAGCUGACUAAUAUUUUAUUAAUGCCCGGAAAGAAGUCUUAGGAGGUCUCUUUAAUUUGGCAAUGGUUGUAAGCUUAAAAAGUUAAAAAAAAAUAAAUAAAUAAAAAAACCAAGUUCAGUAGCUGGCAUGUGAGAUAGAGACAAAUCCCAGUUUCCCUGUGCCAUGAGAGAGGCGAACCAUAAAUACACUGAGACGACUCAAACACCAGUAGAUGAAAAUAGAAAGAGCAGGCUCAUCUUUCUCGUUUUAAGCCGUAGCGUAACCACCAUUUUCUUAAUACAAGACUAGCCAAACACAGAAAGAGAGAGAGAGAUGGGUGUCUUCCGAAGAGAACGGAGGGAAAAGCUAUGGUUAGGGUUUCUAGAUUGGUGGGGAAGAUACCCCAUCCAGUCGUUACUCGUCACCAUACGAGACCUAAUGCUAGAGAUGUGGAUAGCCAGGCAGGAGAGCACAAGGCAAAAGUGACGGCAGGACAUGCUAAAAAUAAAAUAAUAAUCAAGAAAUAAUUAUAGAUCAAAAUACUUCUAAGCCUACUCUCUUUCUUCCGGGAAGAGUUAUCGAAAAAGAAUAAAACAACGGAGGCAGGCGAAAGAGAGCCACAACUUUGCCAUCCAUCGGAGCAUAGAAAUGGAAAAAGAAUCAGAUCUUAGAUCUGCAACCUUGAAUGCAAUAGAUAGCAAAGAAAACGCCAAAAAAUAAGCUGCCAACGCCUAACCAAGCACAGAUUCAGCAGCUCAGAACUUUAAACAUCGGAUCUAUAUAUUUCAAAGAGAAAAGAACGAAAUCAUGAGAAAAAGAGCGAGAGAGAGUCUUUAAAAACAGGGAGAUGAGAGUGAGCAAGAAAGGAAGAAGAGAAGAGAAGAGUUAUUAUACCCAACGCUGCCGAACUCGUAGAGCUUGCCGCGGCUGGAGAAGAUGAUGAGUGCAACCUCGGCAUCGCAGAGGACGGAGAGUUCGUAGGCCUUCUUGAGCAGGCCGUUGCGGCGCUUGGAGAAGGUAACCUGGCGGUUGAUCUUGUUCUCGAUCCUCUUCAGCUCAACUUUUCCCCUCCCCAUUCUUUCCUUCCGGUCUCUCUCUCUCUCUCUCUCUCCAAGCACUGCUUUCUCUUGUGGUGGUACUCUCCAAACACUUGCUGGAAGAGAGAAUAUAAUAAUGGAAAGGCAAGGAGGUGGGUGAAGGAGAGAGAAUAUUAGAAGCAGGCAGGAAAAGGCACUAAUUCUUUUUCAAUCUUUUCUUUUCUUCUUUGCAUUUUAAUCUAAAAUUUUCACACUAAGUUCCCCCUUCUAAAUCUUAAUUUAAGUUGGUAAUUAAGUUAGAGGUGGAAGCCCCUCCACCUUUCUGAUAAUUCCUUCUACUAGAUAUGGGAAUAUGAGCUAAAAUGGUCACUCCAUUGCCAUGUUCCCCUCCUCCCCCAACCUCUACCCUUCACCUAGCCCCCUACACAUGAUAUACCUCAUCACCUCUAUACCUCUUCUAACGAAAUGGACCCCCUCUUUGUUUUUUUAAUCAUUUCAAUGGGGAAUUGAUUCGAGAACUCGUAAGCUUUUUUUAUUUAUUUAGGGAGAGAGAGGAGGAGAAAGAGUGGAAAGGAUAUUACCCUUCUGAUCUUACUAGGUUCUGGUCACUAGGUGGUCACGUCCGAUAUAAGAGGAGGGGAAUGAGUAAGCGUCAGAACCUGAUCACGGAGCUACGUGUCGGCCGUCGUAGGAUGCUUUGCUUCACGAGACAUGCAUCCAGCCGUCCAUUUUUUACCUCGUUUUUAUUAUCUUGAUCGGAGAGCCGAUCUCAGCUCCCGUCGCACUUGUCGUCACAUGAGGCCCGGUCGUUACCUUGGUACCUCCGAAAUCCCCAUAGAUUGCUUCCUCUAUUCCCGCCCCAUGGAUAAGAUUAUCCCGACCAUCCGAUCACGCAAUCCCCCACUUCACCAACUCAAAUAUGGUACUUCAAAGAUAUUUUAUGGCUCACAUAGAGGAAUCCACCUCUGACACGUACCCUUAUAUGUGGCCAUGUGGAUCCUGACAAGCAUUUACCAUCCACCACUCCGGUUAAUAUCAACCACGGAGGUAAAAAGUUGUGCCUCUGACUGCAAAUGCUCUUCUGACAGCAGCUAUGCCUGAUUACGCCAAAAUCCUUGCAAUUAGUCGGAGUUGGAAUGGCAUUCUUAUAUUUAAGCUUAUAUUUGGAAUUCUUUUCCUUCUCUGUGUAUUAUGGUCUGCACAUUCUCUAUGGUCUCGUCGCUGUAACGAGGCUUUCCUUUCUUACGUUUAUUUCUUCUCUAGUAGAGUUUUCUCACCGACCUGACUCUACAUUGGGGUACCUUAUCUUGGCAAGAAAGAACAAAAGGGGCAAGGCCGUGAUACAUGGAUCAUUGAUUGUCAUGUGUCAACAGGAGCAUGAACGAAGGAAGAUAUUUCAAAGCUUUGGUUGCUAAUAAAAGUAGGUGAUAGGUGUGGUAGACGUCUUGGUCUCUUCCAGCAAGCCCCACUGAGUCCAUUAAUGUAAAUUACACUCGGUAAGUGGGGCCCUUGUCUUUCUCACGAUGGAAUCCGUCGCUUACGGCGUCUGAUAACGUUAAUUUAUAUUCCAUUUUUUCCUCCUCAACUUCCAUCGCUGUCUGUGGUCCAGAGAAGACAUAUAUAUCUAUAUCAAUAUGAAGUGAAACCUAACCCAACCCAAGCAACCAAAUGGACCCUAAAGAUAUGUACUUCAAUAAGACUCACUUUUAAACCAUGGGUGUACGAGGAAUCUAUCUCCACAAUUAAAAUAUAGACGUGUUUUCAAAUGUGUUGCAACCAGAGUCUACUAGCUAACAUACGUAUAUUUCUUGGUUCAGAGCGUGUGAUCUAGGAGAUGGUAUCAAGUUAAAGCCCUCUCAAGUCGUUCUCAUGGGCGCCAAAAGCCUAGCUAUGAGAUCUCCCCCUAUGCCACAGUGCUUUCAAAACAAGCAGGGUUGGAUGAUCUUAUGUGAAGACUGAAUGGUGGUAGAUAAAAAUCUCCGUCAGACCAAUGUAAUUUUUCACUGUCAUUGGCUCAGUCACAGGGUUACAGCUCGUCUGAAGAGAAUCCUCCCUGUUCCCUGCUUUGCGAUUUGCUAAUGCUAGCUAGCUCUCAGCUGCUUGACUGAGGCCUAGCUAGCCCUGUGGCUCUGGCUCCUAAACAUUGCGACACAUCAACCCCGAUCCUUUCCCUCCUGAAAGGCGACCAACCAGCUGUAAUCAUGGCUAGACGCCUAGUGUAGUGUAGCAUUUGCUGCUGGAACAAAGCUGAUAUAACCCUUGAAAAAAACAGGAAUAAGAAAGUGAUAGUUAUUCCUGGAAUAACUAUUCCAAGGACUGAAAUUUUGACCCUUUUUUUGGGACAAAAGAACAUCCGCCAAUGGUUAUUCCAAAAUUUUUAGUCCAACAAACAAAAACAAGAAUGACUUGUGGAAUCACUACUCUUGGGGGAAAAUUGCUAUUCCAAUUCCAUCUUUUGUUUUUCUUUGGCUGAUUCAAAUAAGCCUUGCUACCACGUACAGUACCCUAAUGAGAAGAGGAAGGUAGGUUUUAUUUUGUGUCAUCUUUUGGAACCACAAGGUUGGGCUUGAUGGGUGGGGGAGAGGGGAAUUUCUGCGCCUAUAUCAGUUGGAGGAAUCCUUGGGCUUUCUUGUGUGGACUGAGAAAAAGAUCACCGGUCGCGCGCCGGCGCACGCGGCUUGCAACCCGUACCCGCGCCCCGCGGUAAAGAAGGGAAAUAGUGGUGGGUGUGGUGGUGGUGGGGCCGGUGAUUGGAUUGGAUUGGCCUUGGCGCUUUUAACGGUCGUCGAACUGGACCACCGCAGAGAUACAAAGGAACGUCCCUUCGUCCUUCCCCCAAUGAUGGACAGGCGGUAGCUUCUCAGCCAUCCAUCCGACAUGAGCUGCAUGUGGACGUCAAGUGGCAGUAGUCCCUAUCCGUUUUAAUGACGCCCAUAGAGAAAACUUUUGGAAGGAAGGUCAGCAUCACACGAACCUUAUGCUUUGAUGUACAUCAUGGACUUCUGCUGCAUUGAUUCAUGGAUGCCACACCAAGAUACUUCACAACAUUGCGUAUGACAUAGAAGUACUUCAAGGACAUGAGUCACCGUGGAAGGCACGUAGUUCAUUAUGGAUCUCAUGUUUUUCAUGCGUUAAUACAUUAUGGUACAACACUUGUUAAUACUGAUACCAAAGUGAUGUCUGUAAUCCAGGGUUGACAUCCCCAUUAUUGCUCCAAAAAAAAUAAAAAUAAAAUAAAGAGAAUGUUUAAUUAGUUUGCCUUUCAAGAGUACUUCUAGCAUAAUGGUGAACUAUCUCCUUUUGAGGUAAAUAAUGGUGAUAGAACGAAGCUUAUGAGAUUAUAAAUGUCAUGCAUUUUUGUCAACCAUGGUCCUUGCACAACUUUAGAGAGUGUGCAUCUUUUGCAAUGCGCAUCCUAUACCAUAAAAUAUGGUGUAUCCAUAAAUACUAACUACCAUAAGAUGGAUGGCUAUACAGGAAUAUAGACUGUAUGAUGCACACCAUAUGCAAUAUUUGAUAAUCGUCUAUCGAUGGAUGGCAUCGAUGGAUAUACCAAGCGCACUACAGAGGAUCCAUGUUCCAAUUUAAAAACAGCUAUAGUAUUUCUCUUACUUCAAGAUUUAUCUUUUUUCGGCAAUCUUUUAGUAUUAUUAGUUCCCAAAGCCUAGACUAGAUUUUAAAAACGCUACAGAAUCAGUCUUUUGCCGCAAUAUCUUCACAUCCCAAUAAAGCUAUCCCAACAACUGGUUGUAGAGUUUGAAAAGGAGAUUCACAUUAUUGUCUCCAUAUUCCAUGUAGUAUGGUAAUUUAGGGUAUCCAAGCAACGUCUAAGGAGAUUCCGAAUCCUAAGUAGAAUUUCUUAGUUUUAAGUUGUCCCAGAAUAUCACCUCAAUUGCAACCAGUCUCUGACAGAUCUAAUUGUUAUCUCUUACAUGUUUCCAUGCUCAAAUGAUCUUCUCUUCUUUCCACAGUACUAAGCCAUGAUGAGAGAGAAAGAAAAAGAAAUUCUUAGUUUUAAAUUAAGUUAUUUUUACAAUCCUUAUAAUUUUUCUUCUUUAUUAUCACUUGCUGUCCCUAUAUAUAUAUAUAUAUAUAUAUAUGAUCAUAACUAGUAANNNNNNNNNNNNNNNNNNNNNNNNNNNNNNNNNNNNNNNNNNNNNNNNNNNNNNNNNNNNNNNNNNNNNNNNNNNNNNNNNNNNNNNNNNNNNNNNNNNNNNNNNNNNNNNNNNNNNNNNNNNNNNNNNNNNNNNNNNNNNNNNNNNNNNNNNNNNNNNNNNNNNNNNNNNNNNNNNNNNNNNNNNNNNNNNNNNNNNNNNNNNNNNNNNNNNNNNNNNNNNNNNNNNNNNNNNNNNNNNNNNNNNNNNNNNNNNNNNNNNNNNNNNNNNNNNNNNNNNNNNNNNNNNNNNNNNNNNNNNNNNNNNNNNNNNNNNNNNGUCUGUCCGUACUAUAUAUAUAUAUAUAUAUAUAUGAUCAUAACUGUAAAGCAAGCAAGUAUAAGAUUAAGCAAGAUCCUUUUCUCUCCGGCCGAAGGAAAGAAGACCGCGCUACCAUGUUUUCAGGAACUCCUUUUUUAUUUACUGCCUCCUAUUUACGUCUGUAAUUGCACAAGCAGACAAACUUAAUCAUAGUUCUAAGCUUAAUCUGUGGGCAUCUAAUCACCAUGUUUCAUUUCAACCAAAUUUGUUUCUAGCAAUUGAUGAAUUAGGUAUUGGCCACAUGGAGCAUGGAAAUAAAAUUUAGUUCUAAACAUUAUCGUUUAAGGCAAUUAUUUGGAAGUGCAGUUAGCCAAACAUUUGUUCCCAAUCAUCUGCAAUAAUAACAAAUUAAUCUACCAUGAAAGCUAUUAUAUUUUAACAAGAAAAUUUGAAUACUCAAAAUCUGUGUAAAAUUGACAUGCGGUAAUCACUAUAUUCUAACAAGAAAAUGGUUGGUUGGUGAUUCAUCGAUCAUUGUCUUUAAAAAAGAACACAUGACAAUGGACUAUCCUGAUAGAAGCUCCCUUUUUUUUCUUGAGAAAAAUAAUUUUUAGCCAUUAUUUUUUUAAUUGUCUAGAACAAAUAUCUUUGGGCAUAGAGAUCUGCCAAACCCCUCUAAUGGGUGAAAUUAUUAUUUGAACCAGGUCUAACACCGAGCUAAUAGAUCGAUCCAACCAUGAACCGACACACAUGUAUUGAUCUCUUUUCUUCCUGCUUCAUUUGUCAAUCUUUUUGUAUGUUGGUUCAUGGUUGGAUUAGUCUAUUAGUGGACAUGAUCCAAGCAACAAUUCUUACUCUAAAGGGGAUGAAGAAGGCACAAAAAAUACCAAACAAACCCAUAAAAUCAAAGGGCAGAAAUUUCAGUAUUCAAAAUUCGUAUAAAAUUGACAUGUGGUAAUCAUUAUAUCCAACGGUAAAAUGGUUGGUUGGUGAUUCGUCACUGUCUUCCUUUUUUUUUAAAAAAGGCAUGUGAUAAUCCGCCCCGACAGAAGCUCUUUUUUUCUUCCUCCAAAAAGAAAAGUCCUUAAUCAUUUUUUCUUUUAUUUAUCUAGAAUAAACCAUAGGAGGUUUACCAAACCCCUCUUGCAGGAAUGAAGAAGAUGAAGUACCAACUAAACGCGAAAAAGAGGAGGAAAAAUUCUGGGGAAAAUAAUUCUAGGCUUGUCCAAACAAACUACAGGAACCUGGACACAGACAAAAAGUGACUCAAACCAAAUAAAGUCCAACAUCAAAGUACCAUUAACCUAUAAACCAACCAACAUCACUAUAGAAUAGCUAUCAACAGUAUUGUGAUAUUUCAAAUUUCAAAUAUCAAAUCUUGUCUAUUUAUGACCUUAUGUAUAUAUAGCUGUAACUUAUUAGGAUUGAUUGGAUCAAUAAUUUAUUUAAGAAAAUUAGAUUAGCUUGCUUAUUUAAUUACUUGAUUUUAGGAUGGAUGACUUGUAUCCUAUGUAUAUAUAUAUCAAAUACCUUGUACAUAUUUUUCAAUAUGAAUGAACAAGUUUUUACAUGAUAUCAAAAUCAUUGUGAAACUUGAAUCUAGUUUAUCAUCUCGCCCAAACAUGGAUUCAACCUCUCCCUGUUACCUCACCAAUUCCAAUAACCGAGGUACUGUUUUGGUUUCUUGUUUACUCAUUGGAGAAAAUUAUCCCACUUGGGUUCGUGCCAUGACUAAUGCACUUCAUGUAAAGAAUAAACUAUAUUUUAUUGAUGGGAGUUCGCCGAAGUCGGAGGCAUCUUCGUCAGAUGCUUUGAUGUGGGCAAAGUGCGACUCCAUAGUCAUGUCUUGGCUAUUCAAUUCUUUGGCCAAGGAAUUACAUGUCGGUGUUACAUAUGCAGACAUUGUCAUGGAUAUGUGGACCGAUCUUGUUGAUCAAUUUUUUCAAGAAAAUGCUCUUCAGAUUCAUCAUCUCCAUCGGAAACUCAGUUUAUUAUCUCAGGAAGGUCUUUCUGUUUCUUCUUAUUUUAUAAAGUUGAAAUCUUUGUAGGAUGAAUUGACUACAUAUGUCUCUGUCCCAAAGUAUUCAUGUGGUGCAACAAAAGAGUUUAUGCAGGAACGUGAAAAGAAAAAAAUACAUCAAUUUUUUAUGGGACUUGGUGACUCCUUUAGUUCCAUUUGAUCACAGAUCCUCGGUCAGAAGCGUUUGCCUAAUUUGAGUCGAGUUUAUGCCUUAGUUUGUUAGGAUGAGAAACAGCAGGUCCUUCAUGUUACUCGUCAGACAAAUAUUGAAGCCAUUGCUCUACAUGUGUGAGCAACAAAUCUUUAGCCUCUUCUAAUAUGGUUCCUUCUACACAGAGUAAAGACAAGAAACGAAUCAUUUGCAAGCAUUGUCAAAAGUCGGGGCAUAAUAUAUCUCACUGUUAUAAACUUAUUGGCCUCCCAUAUCAUUGGCAAGUUAACAAGUCCCAACAGAAAAAAGGUGGCAUGCCUUCAUCGAACUGUGAUUCUAGAGCUUCUACUGCUCAUCAUGCCCAGGCCGUAGGGGUUCUUCUCCACUUUCUGACUUAUCUGCAGAUCAAUACCAGCAACUUCUUUUUCUUCUGAACAAUGAUAAAAUCGUGGUGAAUGAAAACGUGGCUGGUAAUAUUUCUUUUGUUCCUACACUUGUUGAUUGGGUUUUAGAUACCGGAGCCUCUAAUCAUAUGACUUCGAGUCAUUCAUCUUUGCCAUCCUCUUCUAAUUCUUUUUUUGUUUGGUUGCCAAAUGGGACACAAUUACUGGUUUCAUAUGUUGAGAAUAUCUCUCUUAGUAUCGACAUUAUACUACAUGAUAUUCUUCACGUUUUCAAUUUUCAACAUAAUUUAAUCUCUAUUCAAAAGCUUACCCAUGAUGCCAAUUGUUUUGCAACUCUUUUAACAACUUUUUGUAUCAUUUAGGACCAAAUAUCGAGGAGGCCGAUUGGACUAGGUGACGCACGACAUGGAGUUUAUUGCCUUCAUCUUGUGACUGCUUCUCUUGUUUCAUUAGUUCAUCGCACCACCAGUGCGGUUUUGUGGCAUCAACAUCUUGCCCAUGCUUCUUUUUGUAGUUUAUCUCAGCUUUCUCAUUUGUCUUCAAUUUCUAAUAAUGUUAUUGCAUGUGAUAUUUAUCAUCGAUCAAAACAAUCACAUGUUCAAUUUUCAUUAAGUCAAAAUAAUGCAAGUACUCUUUUUUCUUUAAUACACUGUGAUGUGUGAGGGUGAUAUCUAAC